ACGACCUCCGCGUCCAUCUGCACCUCCGCCACCCGUCUCCCCCGCGUCCGCCUCCGCCUCCGCCUCCGCCACCAUCGCGCGGUCAUCGGACUCUCGGUGCCUCUCGGCAGCCUGAUAAAUGGAAGGACACGCUGUCGUUUCGGACUGAUAACCAGACACAAUACGCCAAUGCGGCAACCAUGGAGGUCCCCCAGGCUUGGCCGUGGGCCGCCUCUACAACUCUCCCUCCCUCUCUCUCGAGACAAGCGGAUCUGCGACAAAGGGGAGACCCUCGGUCGGCACAUCGGCAAAGAGACACUCGGGGGGGUGGAGUGGGCCGUGGGAGGGUGGCGAGGAGGGGGACGACGGCGCCAUUGCGACGCAGCGAGGAGAUGAGACAUGCCACAGGUGAAAUUUGAUGGUGAAUUUGCCUCUCCACUUUGGCAUUGUCCUCUCCAUCUUUUAGGAACCGGAGGCAUCCCAUGAUCACUGAAACUAGGGGAUUCUGGCCAAAUUCCUGUGAAGGGACCUCACCCUCUGCAUUGGUGGACAAGCCCAUGAAAUCCCAAGAAUGGGUAGUGCACAAUCUCCUCUUUGUGUUUGGGAACACUGAGACGACACCAGGCAUCUCUGAUGAAGAAAUGCACAUCAGAAUUAGGCUUUUCGCAUCACUGCCAUCACAGGUGGACUCAUUUCAUGGCUUGCCUUUUGUUCAUUGUGCUACAUACAUACAACAUACUCUAGAAACCAUGUGUUGUGAAAUUACCGGCUAAUUCCAUGGCUUGCCUUUUGUUCAGUUUGGCGGCGAAUCCUUGGAAACCGCUGCUGUAAGUGUAGACGUGUGAUGCCUGCGCCUUCUCGGAGCUGUGAAGAGGAAGAAGCAUCCACUCAAGAUACUGUGUGUAACAGCACUGGAAGCUAGAGGGGGUAUGGACAGCUAAGGAAUGAAAACGAAUUUGUUAUGGACCUUCCAUCGUGAACAGCAGUCAGCAUCUGGUGGUGAAGCCUCAAGAUGUCGUCAUGCUGACGAUCACUCUCGCCCUGCUGCGGCCCUUUGCCCAUGUAAACCACAUACACCUGAAGUUGGCAUCCAUUUGGAAAGGGUUACAGCACUGGAAGACCUCAAGAAAGAAGUGGCGGCUCAUGAAGCGCAGAAGAGUUAACUACAGUGGAGAUAAUCCAACAAAGUAGCAGUGGUGUGCACUGGAGCUGGUAGAGUACUGAUUGUACCGAAACAAACCUGGGAACAAGAGCAGCAGCGAAGGUCGCCUAGUAGCACGAGGGAUAGCGUGAGGAAGAACAUGGCUCUGCCUGGAGAAGAAGCCAUGACAGACAGGCAGCCACACACAGGGAUGCACAGCGCAGCGCAGAUACAAAGGGAAGGACUGCGGUUUGGAGGGCAAGUGUGUAUGAGACCAGUUGUAUGAAAGCAGGCAAAGCAGCUGCUUCCUGAAACUUCUGCUAAGUUACUGGUGGAUGCGUGGGAAAAUAAAGCCUGUACUGGAAUCCCGGAGGAAUGGAAUUGGGUGGCCGUUAACUGCACUUUUCCUCGUCCGUGCCACUAGCAAUCGCAGGCAAGAUGGCAACAAGAGUUCAUAAAUAAUGCAGACAAAGAUGUCCAAAGCGUCAUGAUGCGGUAUGGGAACCAAGAAAGCUCAGCUAGUGAUCUAGACUGAGAGCAUGACAAAUAGGGUAUCCAAUCUCGGAGAUACAAAGAACAUGUAGAAUGGCUGCUUUCGUGAAUAAUAAUACCUGUAGAUAUGAAGUAUAA